rnacentral:rRNA from 1 species
UAGGGAAUCUUCCGCAAUGGGCGAAAGCCUGACGGAGCAACGCCGCGUGAGUGAUGAAGGUCUUCGGAUCGUAAAACUCUGUUAUUAGGGAAGAACAAAUGUGUAAGUAACUAUGCACGUCUUGACGGUACCUAAUCAGAAAGCCACGGCUAACUACGUGCCAGCAGCCGCGGUAAUACGUAGGUGGCAAGCGUUAUCCGGAAUUAUUGGGCGUAAAGCGCGCGUAGGCGGUUUUUUAAGUCUGAUGUGAAAGCCCACGGCUCAACCGUGGAGGGUCAUUGGAAACUGGAAAACUUGAGUGCAGAAGAGGAAAGUGGAAUUCCAUGUGUAGCGGUGAAAUGCGCAGAGAUAUGGAGGAACACCAGUGGCGAAGGCGACUUUCUGGUCUGUAACUGACGCUGAUGUGCGAAAACGUGGGGAUCAAACAGG